rnacentral:rRNA from 1 species
ACGCACGCUGGCGGCGUGCUUCACACAUGCAAGUCGCACGAAAAGAGGGAAAGAGCUUGCUCUUUCCGGAAUUGAGUGGCAAACGGGUGAGUAACACGUAAACAACCUGCCUUCAGGAUGGGGACAACAGACGGAAACGACUGCUAAUACCGAAUAAGUUCCAAGAGCCGCAUGGCCCAUGGAAGAAAAGGUGGCCUCUACCUGUAAGCUAUCGCCUGAAGAGGGGUUUGCGUCUGAUUAGCUGGUUGGAGGGGUAACGGCCCACCAAGGCGACGAUCAGUAGCCGGUCUGAGAGGAUGAACGGCCACACUGGAACUGAGACACGGUCCAGACUCCUACGGGAGGCAGCAGUGGGGAAUCUUCCGCAAUGGGCGAAAGCCUGACGGAGCAACGCCGCGUGAGUGAUGACGGCCUUCGGGUUGUAAAACUCUGUGAUCCGGGACGAAAAGGCAGAGUGCGAAGAACAAACUGCAUUGACGGUACCGGAAAAGCAAGCCACGGCUAACUACGUG